rnacentral:rRNA from 1 species
GAUGAACGCUGGCGGCGUGCCUAAUACAUGCAAGUCGAACGCUGGAGAUCUAGCUUGCUAGCUCGAAGGAGUGGCGAACGGGUGAGUAAUACAUAAGCAACCUACCCACGAAGACUGGGAUAAUCUCUGGAAACGGGGACUAAUACCGGAUAGGUAAUCGGAAGGCAUCUUCUGGUUAUUAAAGGUUAAAAACACUGGUGGAUGGGCUUAUGGCGCAUUAGUUAGUUGGUGAGGUAACGGCCCACCAAGACGAUGAUGCGUAGCCGGCCUGAGAGGGUGAACGGCCACAUUGGGACUGAGACACGGCCCAGACUCCUACGGGAGGCAGCAGUAGGGAAUUUUCGGCAAUGGGGGCAACCCUGACCGAGCAACGCCGCGUGAGUGAAGACGGCCUUCGGGUUGUAAAGCUCUGUUGUAAGGGAAGAACGGUAGAUAGAGAAUAUCUAAGUGACGGUACCUUACCAGAAAGCCACGGCUAACUACG